GCACAAAUAAGAUAUUGCCGGCAU
rnacentral:piRNA from 1 species